UCUUUGCUAGUAUAUCGGUUAGUACACGCGCCUGUCAUAGUGCCACAACGCGCGUAAGCUGGGUUCGACUCCCAGGCAAAGAG